rnacentral:rRNA from 1 species
CGCGGCCUAUCAGCUUGUUGGUGAGGUAAUGGCUCACCAAGGCGACGACGGGUAGCCGGCCUGAGAGGGUGACCGGCCACACUGGGACUGAGACACGGCCCAGACUCCUACGGGAGGCAGCAGUGGGGAAUAUUGCACAAUGGGCGAAAGCCUGAUGCAGCGACGCCGCGUGAGGGAUGACGGCCUUCGGGUUGUAAACCUCUUUCAGUAGGGAAGAAGCCCCUUUUGGGGGUGACGGUACUUGCAGAAGAAGCGCCGGCUAACUACGUGCCAGCAGCCGCGGUAAUACGUAGGGCGCAAGCGUUAUCCGGAAUUAUUGGGCGUAAAGAGCUCGUAGGCGGUUUGUCGCGUCUGCCGUGAAAGUCCGAGGCUCAACCUCGGAUCUGCGGUGGGCACGGGCAGACUAGAGUGAUGUAGGGGAGACUGGAAUUCCUGGUGUAGCGGUGAAAUGCGCAGAUAUCAGGAGGAACACCGAUGGCGAAGGCAGGUCUCUGGGCAUUUACUGACGCUGAGGAGCGAAAGCAUGGGGAGCGAACAGGAUUAGAUACCCUGGUAGUCCAUGCCGUAAACGUUGGGCACUAGGUGUGGGGGACAUUCCACGUUUUCCGCGCCGUAGCUAACGCAUUAAGUGCCCCGCCUGGGGAGUACGG